rnacentral:rRNA from 1 species
UCAAGCGAACAAGGGCGCAGGGCGAAUGCCUUGGCACUGGGAGCCGAUGAAAGACGUGAUAAGCUGCGAUAAGCUUCGGGGAGCUGCAAAUAAGCAUUGAUCCGGAGAUCUCUGAAUGAGGAAACUCACCUGGGUUCAUACUCAGGUACGUUAUACUGAACUUCAAAAUAGGUAUAUCGAGGGAACCGCCUGAACUGAAACAUCUAAGUAGGGCGAGGAAGAGACAUCAAACGAGAUUCCGUAAGUAGUGGCGAGCGAACGCGGAAGAGGGCAAACCGGGAGUAGAAAUACUUCCGGGGUACGGACCGCAUUUAGGACUUGAGUUGUUAACCGAACGGCAUGGGAAGGCCGGUCAGAGAGUGUGAGAACCACGUAGGUGAAAACGGAGAGAGCUGCGCAGGAUCCAGAGUACGGCCAGACACGUGAAACCUGGUCGGAAUACGGGGGGACCACCCUCCAACCCUAAAUACUACCCAGUGACCGAUAGCGUAUAGUACUGUGAAGGAAAGGUGAAAAGCACCCCGGGAGGGGAGUGAAAAAGAACCUGAAACCCUGUGCCUACAAGCACCUAGAGCACGUCAAUGUGUGAUAGGGUACUUUUUGUAGAACGGUCCGGCGAGCGAUUGUAUGCAGCAAGGUUAAGGACUUAAGGUCUGGAGCCGAAGCGAAAGCGAGUUUGAAAAGGGCGUUAAGUUGCAUAUAAUGGGCCCGAAACCGGGUGACCUACCCAUGGUCAGGUUGAAGUGGAAGUAAAAUUCCAUGGAGGACCGAACCGACCUCCGUUGAAAAGGCGGCGGAUGAACUGUGGGUAGCGGAGAAAUUCCAAUCGAACCCGGAGAUAGCUGGUUCUCCCCGAAAUAGUUUUAGGACUAGCCUCAAGUUAGAUACCUGGAGGUAAAGCACUGAAUAGCCUAGCGGCCGAGAGGUUAGCGAAGCUUAUCAAACUCAGAAUGCCAGAGUAUUGAUGCUUGGGAGUCAGACAGUGUCAGAUAAAUGUCAUUGUCAAAAGGGAAACAGCCCAGAUCUACAGCUAAGGUCCCAAAGUCAGGUUAAGUGGAAAACGAUGUGAAGAUACGCAGACAACCAGGAUGUUGGCUCAGAAGCAGCCACUCAUUCAAAGAGUGCGUAAUAGCUCACUGGUCGAGCGUCUUUGCGCGGAGAAUUUAACGGGGCUAAACCUGACACCGAAGCUUAGGCAAUACAGCAAUGUAUUGGGUAGGGGAGCGUUGUAUACGCGGUGAAACAGUAGCGCAAGCGGCUGUGGAGUGUAUAGAAGUGAGAAUGCCGGAAUGAGUAGCGCGAAUGCAGUGAGAAUCUGCAUGGCCGAAAGCCUCAGGUUUCUGGAGGAAGGUUCGUCCGCUCCAGGUUAGUCGGGAGCUAAGGUGAGGCCUAACGGCGUAGCCGAUGCACAGACGGUAGAGAUUCCGUCACCACCAAAAGAGUUAAACACAGGGACACAUUUGAAGUCUCGGAGCCGGGUGUUGGUUCCGGUAGCGAUCGAGGGAAGUUAGUACCGAAGUCCGGGAUGGAAGAUGGCGAGAAAAGCUGUGUGUAUUUCUGCGGUGCCCGUACCGCAAACCGACACAGGUAGGUAGGAAGAAGAUUCUAAGGCCAACGGGAGAAGGGUUGUUAAGGAACUCGGCAAAUUGACCCCGUAACUUCGGGAGAAGGGGUGCUCCAGAGAUGGAGCCGCAGAGAAUCGGCCCAAGCAACUGUUUACCAAAAACACAGGUUUGUGCUAAAUCGAAAGAUGACGUAUACGAGCUGACGCCUGCCCGGUGCUGGAAGGUUAAGAGGAGAUGUGCAAGCAUUGAAUCGAAGCCCCAGUGAACGGCGGCCGUAACUAUAACGGUCCUAAGGUAGCGAAAUUCCUUGUCAGGUAAGUUCUGACCCGCAUGAAAGGCGUAAUGAUUUGGGCACUGUCUCAACAGCCCGCCCGGCGAAAUUGUAGUACCGGUGAAGAUGCCGGUUACCCGCGACAAGACGGAAAGACCCCAUGGAGCUUUACUGUAGCCUAAUAUUGGGUUUCGAUGUUGCAUGCACAGGAUAGAUGGGACUCUGGGAAACCAGUGCUUUGGCGCUGGCGGAGAGGCCGUUGGGAUACCAUCCUUGCGAUAUUGGAAUUCUAACCUGCGGCUCUGAAUCGAGUCGGGGGACAUUGUUAGGUGGGCAGUUUGACUGGGGCGGUCGCCUCCUAAAAAGUAACGGAGGCGUUCAAAGGUUCGCUCAGCUUGAACGGAAAUCAAGCAAAAGAGUGCAAACGCAGAAGCGAGCCUAACUGCGAGACUGACGGGUCGAGCAGUAACGAAAGUUGGAGUUAGUGAUCCGGUGGUAUGUGAGUGGAAAUGCCAUCGCUCAACGGAUAAAAGCUACCCUGGGGAUAACAGGCUGAUCUCCCCCAAGAGUCCACAUCGACGGGGAGGUUUGGCACCUCGAUGUCGGCUCAUCGCAUCCUGGGGCUGAAGUCGGUCCCAAGGGUUGGGCUGUUCGCCCAUUAAAGCGGUACGCGAGCUGGGUUCAGAACGUCGUGAGACAGUUCGGUCCCUAUC